GCCCGAAUUACCCUGAAGAGCCGCGAAGAGGUUCAGGAGUUGUCACUCUCAGGUUUCGCUGGAGGUGGAGGAAGAAGCACCCUCACCCUGGAUGGUCCGGCCUAGAGGUACCGAUGAGCUGAGGUCGCUUUGCAAAUAUACCCAUUCCUGGAGGCCUGGAGGCUUUGAGGCAGCUGGGCUAGGACGAGGAGUAUAUGUUGUUGGGUGUGAAGUUCUGCAGAGUGGCACUCCUCAAAUGUCGCAUUAUUUGUCCACCCGGAGUUCACCUUCUCCUGGGUGAGGCAGGGCCAGGCGUCUCGAAGCACAUGUUAACCAAUGGCCUGAAAGGACUCUAGUCUUCCCAACGACUUACUACUAAAAAACGUUCUGGAAAUACGGCUGCUAGAAAUCACAGCAGAAGGGGUGAGCUACCUUGUGAUGCCUGAGCACGUCAGGAAGUUGACUUCAGGAUGGAAAAACACACGGGGCAAGAAGAGGCACUUGAACUUCACCCCUAACAAGACAAGGAUGAGAGAAGCAUUCGGUGCAAUGCGGUCUGAGGUUGCAGAACAGGACGGCUGCAGAGCGAGCUCCAGAAAGCCCUGGGAUGACACAGCAGAGUGUGGGAGGAAGCACGAGGGAGGCGUCUCGUUUCUGGAAGGAAGAGGGGCUUCGAGGUGGGCAAGCUGCCCAGGCUGGGAAGAGUCCCAAGACAUUGCUCAGCCUUGUGUCUGCUUCUGAUUGAGAGCCCAGUGGGACUGCAGGUUUGGGCGGCUUGUUUAAAGGCAGGGCACUCCACCGCUAUGGGUGGGGUGCAUUCAUUCAUUCGGAAACACAAGUGAUGUACCAGCGAGCAAAGCAUACAAAAGUCCUGUUGUCACAGAGCUCACAUGCUCAGGGAGAGACCAUAAACAAACAAAAAUGAAGUGAGAGCAUCUCAGAGUGCUAGGAAGGCAAUCAACCAGGCUGGGGUUACUGUGAUUGGAAGGUCAGAGGCCUUUCUGAGGGGGCCUCAUGGAAGCCAGGGCUGAGUGAUGUGAGGGGCUGAAUCCGUGGCUAUCUGGGAAAGAAGAGUCUUUUUAGGCAGAGAAGAGCAAGGGAUGAGGCCCCAA